UCACUUCAGCAGCACAUAUACUAAAACUGGAAAGAUACAGAGAAGUUUAGCAGGGCCCCUGUGCAAGAUGACAUGCAAAUUUGUGAAGCACUCCAUAUUUUU